UGAGGGAAAGUUGCAAAGAACUUUGAAGAGAGAGUUCAAGAGUACGUGAAACUGCUUGGAAGGAAACGGGUGGAUCCUCGAAGUCCUGGGGGAGCGGGAUUCAGUGGCGGGCGCGGAGGGGUGUCCGAGCCUCAUACUCCGUGACCGGAGAUGAGUGACGAGCACCGUUCUCCCGCCGGCCGCGCACUUCUCGCUCUCGGUGGACGCCGCAGCAGGUCGGGCGUCGGCAGUGAGGACUGGCCGGGAGAUGGCGUGGACGCGGAUCGAGCAUCUCCGUCCCGUGUCUGUACCGGCCGCGUUCCCGGUGCGACGCCGGACCGAGGGAGAGGUCCGCUCGGGCGGACGAGCCACGGUCUCCGGAAGGAGCGGGAGAGUGGUCCGGCGCUGCCGCCCGCGUCGUUCACGCAGAGCCGUGUGCGACCGGGGAAGGUGUCCCGGAAGGCCGCGACCCACCCGCGGACGAGAGACGGGGCUUGCGGCGAGUAGGUCGGUAACCCACCCGACCCGUCUUGAAACACGGACCAAGGAGUCUAACUUGUGCGCGAGUCAGUGGGACUCGAUCAAGCCCACGGGCGCAAUGAAGGUGAAAUGGACGAAAGUUCGUCGCGAUCCCCGCCCCCCCCGGGGCGGGGCGCAGCGGCGGCCCGGCGGCCUACCAGCUCGACUGGCGGCUCGUCGGUGCCCGAGCGCACGGGUUGGGACCCGAAAGAUGGUGAACUAUGCCCGGGCAGGUCGAAGCUAGAGGAAACUCUGGUGGAGGACCGCAGCGGUUCUGACGUGCAAAUCGAUCGUCGAACCUAGG
rnacentral:rRNA from 1 species